rfam:Capsicum annuum cultivar Zunla-1 chromosome 9, whole genome shotgun sequence
UGAUGAUGGUGAGGGAAACUCCUUAGCAUACCCUUAAAUUAUUUUCAUGCUUGGUAAAAACUUUCUCCUUCUUUCUAUUUGAAACUCAUUAUCUCGCUUCUCAAACG